GAACGGAUUGUAGGUUGGAUUGUGUUACGGAUAGUGCUGCUACCUGUAGUCAUGGUUACUUAUUUAGUGCAGGUAGCCACUGGGAGCCACAUUGGCUCGGCCAGCUGUGAUGCCAUAUCUAUAGCUCUUGUAGGAGUUAAUGGAGAAAGUCCUAAACAUCUUCUGGGAGUAAUAUUUCCUGCUGGAUCUGUGAGUAUUGUCUUGUGGCUAUUAAAUAGAACAACCCCCCCCUCACCCCUCUUAAAAUCUGUGUCUAAGUGUGGUCUGUCCGUCUGUGCUGCUGUCUCAUGUUUUCUAAUAAAUUAAAAUGUUACAUGAGGUAUAAGGGAAGGGAAAAUAUCAGCAUUCUCAAAAAUGUGUUCAGUAGUUUAAAUACUGUGAGUGUGUAUGUAACUACAGUAUAAUGUUGUGUGGUGUGUGUGGUUUUUUUUUUAUUGUUUUUUUUUAUUUUUAUUUUCAGAAACCAUUCCUUUUUAAGGGACACUCUAAGCAUAAUUUUACCUGUUACUAAUGUCAGUUUUGUCCAGUGGAGCAGUGCAGCUAAGGGGAAUGGGCCUUGACAUUGCUUGGAGACAGGCAUAGAAUAAGGGUAUGUGUGGAUUGGCUAUUGGAUCCCUCUGGCUUAAUCACCACUUACCUGUUGUCUGUCCAUCCCUCCCUUUUCUCAGAGGAUAGCUACCACUUGGUCAUGGCAGCAGGGAGAUGGAUAGAACAGUUGUGGGUUGGUCAUAGGUAUGUUAGUUUUAGUUUGCUACGAACAGUUGGGUUUAAACUGGUAUUGGUAGGUUCAAGCCUGUUGGUAGCUCCGAACCUGGUGUGUGUAGGGGGUGUCUUGGUAUACCCCUACAUUGUGGAAGCUGGAAAAUCAUGCCCUCGGUGGUAAUGGUUUGUUAUAGUUCGUAUCAAUAACUGCCAUGUGGGUCAUAGUUAUGCUAAAGGUAUAGGGGUCAAUAGCGUAUUGUGUUGACCCUUACCUUAUAAUUUUACUUGUUAUGUUUCUAUAUCAAAGCUGUGAUAUUUUCUCCCAAUACAAGGUGUCUGAGUAUUUUUGGGGGUUAUGGGGUUACUUAAGCAAAUGCCAAUAGGGGACUAAACGUCCAGUGUAGGGGGUGGGGGCGGGGAUUAUUUUAUCUUUUUUAUUUCAUGAAUGCAAAUGUUUGAUGCUGGCAUUAAAAACACACUUUAGCUGGCUGGUCACCCUUACUCCUGCUAACACUCACCUUUAUUCCUGAGCUGUGUGGGUCUGCCCUGGCUCAGAUCAAAAUUUACUGUCUCAGCCAGUCCAAUGAUUUCUUGAAUAAACUUGCAUGCCCAUCUACGUCUUUAUUUUGUAUAUUUAAGUGUUUGCUGCUUUUAAAAAGAAAUGUUUAUUUCUGAUCAGGUGCAACAACAUGACAUUAACACACCAGCAGACCUGGGUCACAUAUUAUUUGUACGACUGUAUAAGAAGCACGGUGUUAUUGAUAAUCCCUGGUACUGCAAGUAUGUGACUGUGACCAGUCCCAGUGGGGAGAGCACUCGAUUCCCGUGUUACAAGUGGUUCAGUGGGUUAAUGACUAUGGAAGUUCAAGAAGGGAAAGGUAUGAUUUUUUUUUUUUUUUUUAUUAUUUUUUUUUUUCUCUUGGUACUAAUUCUCUUCCAUUAGUCUAUUCAAAUGAAAAUAAUUCCUCUAAACAUUUUAGGCCUUUAGGAGCUAAGGAAAGAGGGGCUUAUCUAAUGUUGUGAAGACUGCACACCAAGAGGUAGUCACCCCUGGGGUUGUUUGUCACCUUCCGGUGUCUCUGCAUAUUUUACAGCACUGAUUAUUAUUGGUAUUUAUAUAGCGUCAGAUUAUUCCGCAGCGAUUUACAAUAAAAGGUAAUUUACCAAAUGAGAUGACAAAAUGUAAAGGUAACAAUAGGUAGUUGAGGACCCUGCUCAAACAAGCUUACAAUCUAGAGAAUGCGGGGUAUAAAAACGCAAUAGGAAGGGUAUUGAGGGAGACAGCAAAUGGACAUGGUGGGAAAGCAGACCUGAAUGUGAGAGUGGGGUGUGACCUUUUUAGGAGAAAGGAUUGAGAGAUAGAAGUUACUCUUGGAUGCCGUAAGCCAUCUUUAAAAGAUCCUUUUUGAGGGACUUCUUAAAGGAUUGAAGACUAGGGCAGAGUCUGACAGGGGAAGGCGGGCUGUUCCAAAGGAAUAGGCAUGAAUUUGCAGGAAGGGUGCAAGCGGCAGACGGAAGGUCACCAGUAGGGCAGAGACCAAGAGGGGGCAUGCCUAUGAAUGAGUGGAGAAAUGUAAGAGGGGCUAGAGUUGGUUAGACCUUUAUAGGUAAGGGUUAGUAUCCUAAAUUGACACCUGUAGGGUAGUCUGAGUGUUAAUAAAAUACAAGAAGCCAGUCUAAGGAUCAACCGAGGGGUGCGGAGAGAUCAUCCUGGGAGCAGCAUUCAUCAGAUUGUGGGGGGCAGUAUGGCUUCUGUGGAGACCAAUUAGGAGAAAAUUACAGUAAUCCAUGAACAAGCUCCUUGGUAGCAUCUUGCAUCGGAAAGGGGCGUAUAUGUGCAAUGGCUUUUAAUCUGGAAUUGACCAGUUUUAGCAAGACUGGACAUGAGGCGCAAAGGCCAGGAUCAAAUACUACACCAAGAAAGCGAGCUUGAAAGGAUGGGGUGAGGCAGGUACGGUCAACCUGCAGGGACAGUGAUCGAGGAGAAUUGGUUUUAUGAGGAGGGAAAAAUAAGAAGCUCCGUUUUAGAUUUGAGUAUCAAAAAGCAGGAGGACCUUCUUUCAGAAAGAGAAGCAAUUGGUGACAUGUCAUAAAACAGUUGGAAAAGAGGUGUGUGUGUGUGUGUGUGUGUAGACUGGUGUCGUCAGUGUACAGGUGGUAGUGGAAUUCAAAUGAAUUAAUGAGUUUGCCAAGAGAGGCAAUAUAGAGGGAACAAAAGGGUUCAGAAAGGGACUCUGACUGAGACCGGAUGAGGCAUGUGCCAUUGGGAGAGAGGAGUCAUGAGGGCUGUCACAGAUAUCAAGAGUUAGGAGAAGGAGGCCAUGAUCAACAGUGUCAAAGGCAGCAGAGAGGUCAAAAAGAAUUAGUAUGUAGUAGUGUCCUUUGGAUUUAGCUGCAUUUAGAUAAUUUGUAACACUAGUCAGAGCAGUGUCUGUGAAGUGGAGGGGGCAGAAUCCAGACUGAAGAGGUUCGAGGAGAGAGUUGGAAUUAUUUGUGCAUAUGUUGGAAUGUCUCAACAUACAAUAUCAAAUACUGGCAGUCUAAUGAACUCUGAGCUUAAAAGUGCACCCCACAGAAGCUGCUUUGUGUCAGUAGCCUCUCAUCUUAAUUGCAAUCUAUAAAGAUACUGACUUCAAUUAAACCACUCUUCUAAACUUGGAACUCAGUGGCCAUCAGACAGUCAGGGAGGUUUUUCCUUCCUGAUUCAGUUGACUUCAGAGAGCUAACCAAAGCGGCAGACAUGACAUGCUAGAGCACCCUUGUCUCCCCAAUAAAGUGUGCAUGUCCACAAAGGCUAAUUUAGCCAUGCACAGACUCAAUGCUUGUGGGUUCCCUGGCUGAAGACUUGGUCUCAAGGAUAAGUCUCUACUUAUUCCACUGGCAAAGGCUGUAGAGCACCAGCUCUUACAAGAUGAUAUUUGAUGUACCUAAUAAAAUUGCAGCAAUAAAUGUAUUUCUAAAUUGGGAUAUAGCUACUACCUUGUUAAAAUAAAGACCUUACAAUUUUGGUUUAAAGAACACUUCCAAAAAAAGGGUUUAAUAAAUAGCCUCAGAUUGUACUUUACAGACCUGGUCAUUGAAUGGAUAACAACCCAAAAAGUUGCCUGGUCAUUAAUUUGAGAUACAUUCAUGUUGAGGUCCUCCCCCAGCUAUUAUGGAACCGUCGUGCCAAUUAGGGUGUCUGCAAGGCAUUGUACAAGCUUGGCUAAUGCUUUCAUUCAUAGCAACACUACUGAAAUCUUCACUUACAGAAUCACCGCCCUUAUGCUGUAUACCUGCAUUCAAGCUAUAAUCUUAAAAUGGGCCUCUAGUCUUGAUCCAACUGAAAAUAUGUAUCUUAUGAAUGUAGAGAUACUGACCAGCUUGGAGCAUAAGCUGAUGGCUCUAGCCAGUGAGUGACUCUCUGCACUGUCCAGAAACAUAAAGAACUUGCUGUUCUGAUUGCAAGCUCUACUGGGUAAAUCAUGACCUGCCAGAUCACUGCCAUAAACAUGAUCUAGAAAUCUGCUUCACAAGCACACCCCCUGCCCCAACCCCUUACCAUAACACUGGCAUCUCAGAAAGCAAGAUAAAGAGACAGGUCUGCCUGAAGUGGUGCUGGGUCAGGUGAAUGCAUGUCAGACUUCCUGCCAAUUAUCCAGGAAAGCCCACUGAAGGCAGACCAUUAAGGGAGCAUUGUUUUAAUGACCCAUGCAUAACCCAAGUAUUGAUGUGCUACACUUUUAUUGACAGUUUUCUGGUUCCCAGAACAGGUGGGACAGUAUCAUAAAACUGGGACUGUCACACUGCAAUCAGGAUAAUUGGUAGGCAUGCAAAGGCUUUCUUCAAUGCAGGAAGCAAGAUCUCUUGGUUUCUCUUGUUAGUAUUCUUUCUGUUCCAGGAAUCAUCUUGACACACGGCGUGAACCCCCUCAUUGUAAAACAGAGAAAAACUGAGCUCGACAGGAAUAGAGAAAUCUACAGGUAAAAUACUUUGGAUACUAAAUAACUUUCACAGCAGCUCCAAAAAAACACAAUCUUAUUGAUGUUUACUCAUGGUCUCAGUCACUGUAACGAUCUUGUCAGGAGGAGAAAUGUGGGUUGUGUAAAGCACCCUAAUAGCCUGCACACCUGUAACGGGGGCUGUCAAUCACUGUACAUAACCCACAUUAUUUCUCCUCCUGACUAGAUAUUUAAAGUGUCACACUAGCCUUUACACCUGUACCCAGGGGUGGCCUGGCAGGGGGCAUAUAUCUUGGUCCACACAGAGCAGUUUUUGGAUUGCUGCCUCACAACACUGAAUACACUAUGAGCCACUCUUAGUUGGAAUUUUCAUCCUAAUGCAGAUAGAAAGAGGUGUGGCAGUACAUGUCUUUAUAGCAAAGAUGAAACUUAUAGUGCACAAAUGGUAAUGGAAACUGCUGCAUCACAUGGAUUUCCACAUGCUCUUCUCCAAUACCAUCUGUGCCAGGAAUGAACUGGUUUGUGGUGUCAACUGCCACAUCUCACAACACCUCAGCAUCACAGAAAGCCAGGUUUGUUUUAUUUCUCACUUGGAGAGACAUGACACCUUAUACUGCUUUAAAUUGUGGUCUGGAUGGAGUACAUCUUUCCCAUAAAUACUUGUUUAGACGAGUUUCCACAUCUCUUUCCAGAUGGAAAGUCUACGCAGACGGGGCUCCUUAUUGUAUUGCUGUAAGUGAUCCAAAGGAACUUCCUCUUGAUGCCAGAUACUCUGUCCAGAAAUAUGCCAGCUUUGGCUUCACCUUGGUUGCAACGUAAGUAACGGAUUUUUUUUUCAUUGCUCUCUGCCAUACUAGCCUGUAACCUACCUGUCCUCACUGCUUCUGUGGGAUCACAUUAUUAAUUUAUCUUGUUUGACUUUUUUACAGUGGAUUAGAAAUGCAGCUUAAAGGCUUCACCAACUGCACUGAUCCCUGGACUGAUUUGAAUGACCUCAACAAGGUCUUCCUCUACAAAAAGACCCAUAACUCUGGUAUGUCUUGCGUUAAUCCAGUUACUUUGUCUUUUGAAAGCUGGGGGUAGCCGGAAUGGCCACCAUCUGCAUCUUGACCAUAUCAUGAAUAUAUUAAAAAAAAAAAAAAAACAUCUUAUGACCAAUAGUUUAGAAACCUGGAGACUGCAUGCGACUUGCAAUAAGCAACUCGCAUGUCAACAAGACCACUAUUUUUUUUUAGACUGGUGGGUCCAUUAGAUGGUCACCUUGUGUUUGGGGCCUGGUAGGCAGCAUUGGCAUUGAGUGGAUCCUUCAUGGACAGAGUGAAACUGCAUGGGUGUUCACUCAACUGAGAUGCUGACAACACUGUCUGGCACUGCAUCACCAGGGGCAAAACUCCCCUCCUGCCAUUUGGUAAGCAAGAGGAUUCAAAAGAGACUUUACUCCCCCCUUCCCUUCUAACACACUGACUCUACACAACACUCCCAGAAUAGAGUUCAGGAGUCUUAAGAAGAAAUGUAUAGGAACACAAUACUUAUUGGUCUAAACAAGGGGUGGGCCGCAAUCAUCAUGACAUUUGGUUUGGAGUUCUACCUCUCGACCUAAUCUAAAGAAGUUGACUCGACUGCACCUGCAUUCUAGAAAUAAAACCAAUUCUAUAUACUUUUCUUUUUUUUUUUUUAUAUUAAGAAUAAGCCUCUUGUAGCAGGUUCUAAAGACAUAUUAAUGUCCUCUAUAGACUGGAACGGUAUUUUUCCUGAAAUAAACAUGUUAAAUGGCUGGUCUUCUCACAAGUCUAUAUUUUACAUCAAUUGGCCUCAUCUACAUAUUUUCAUAACUCUUCAAGAGUUUAUAUCACACAACUAGAAUAGGUCAUUUGAUAGAGGCUGUAUCUGUCAAUUUCUUACAUCUUGUUCCUCAUAAGAUCACUAAAGGCAAGCUGGAAAGAACCAUUGCACAAGAUAUGCACUUUGAACUUGGUAACCAGAGUUCUUAAAGCUCAGAAUUUACCCAGACUGACGUUGCACAUUGAAAGUCUCCAAAAAAUGAAUGAAUGGGGCUGAACUUUUUUGUUGCAUGAUUAUUUUAUAAUGUAUACUCAAACAUGCCGGAGGAGCACAUGGUCUUCUGCAGUGGCUAAAAUUUCAAACUACCUCUAUUGCAAGUCUCUUCAGCCGUCCACUAUUCCCUAUGAGGAAAUAAGUUACAAAGGACUAUUUAAGAGUCCUCUCAAACGGCUGAUCAAAAUCUGGCCAAGACCCAAUCUACCGUUAACCAAUGAAGCAAGCAGCAUUGUUAGGCUUAUGCUCCUUGGGGAAAAAAUGCAGCUGCAUGCAUCUGGCAAUUUUCACUGCCCAUCUGUACACCAGAAAGCCGUCUCCACUUUUGCUGGCUGCCUCAGUGAGCUGCUUAUGUUUGGGAUUUUGUGGUUGAAUGCAUAACUGCACUUCUAAAGAGCCCUUGUGGCAUCACCUCCAUAUUAGUCCAAUGUGUAAUCUCCCUGUGAUAUCCUCUCGUUCCUCACAGCUGUCAUACAGUACCCUUCACUUUAUCCUUCUUUCAGGCCCCAUAUUAGUCCUGAAAUCCACCCUGUCAUAUAACCACUGAACAUGUAGUCAAAUACUUGCAUCAUAUUACGUGCUCAUGCCCACCCUCCAUUCACUGUAAUGACCUCAAUCCUAAAACUCUGUACAUUGAGUGACACUUCUACCUACACAAGCAGAUACACACUCUGAACUAUAUUCUUGAUGUUAAGCCAACCCCAAAGCUGGCUUUGUAUUAUAGAAUAUUCUUGUCCAGACAUCUAAUGAUCCUUUAGUAGUCACUGCUUUGUCUAGAGUUUGGCACUGGUGUGUGUAAAGGGAGGCUUAACUAAACCAAACCCCCACAAGAUGCAAAAAAAUAUCAGCACCCAUGUCUGAGCCAGGAGUGCCAGGUCACUUUAUGAUGACCAGGGGCAAGUCUCAGCUCACUGUCAAGCCUUGAGUGCAUGAUGCUGUUAGUCUGAAUCUUUAACUACAAGAAAUGGUCAUUAUUCUAAAUAAAGGUGGCUUUCUAUAAAGCUGCCCUAACUACGCUGACAUUCUAAUGCUAUAGACUACUUGGCCAUCUGCAUCAUUAAGGUUUGAACAAAUGCAGGUUGUUGGACAUAAUAGCAACUAAAGACAUGGUUCUAAAGCCGUAUUACUCCUAUGAAUGUAAACUUGUUGCUUGAUAUUGAGACCUCCAUCUGGGAAUAAUUAAUCAAUACAUGUUUUCUGGUCAGUGCUGGUGUCUCAGAUGUGGAAAGAAGACCGCUUCUUUGGUUAUGAGUUUCUGAAUGGAGUGAACCCUGUAUUAAUCAGGAAAUGCAUCAAAAUCCCUGGCAACUUCCAUGUAGAGCAAGAGAUGGUGGCUGCAAUCCUUGGGACAUCAACAGACCUCAAUAAAGAAUUGGAGGUAUGUAUCUUGGUACAGAGUGAACUUUCACACUUGUCACAAGUGGCUGUUUCCUGUGUCUUUGUCCUGGUUUCCCUCUCAAUAACCUGAUAUUGAGUCUCCAUUUAGAGGAUUGAUGGCAUUUCUUUAUCCCUAACUCAAAGGUGUUUGUCUUUUCCAGAAUGGAAAUAUCUUUUUGGCAGACUACAGCAUUCUAGAGGGAGUUCCUGCUAACACUAUUAAUGGCCAACAGCAAUACCUCACUGCUCCUCUAUGCCUUCUGUGGAAAAAUCCUCAGGAUAAACUCCUCCCAAUAGCUAUACAGGUAAAAUGUAAUCCUUCUACAACAUAUGUAUAUCCUGUUGCACUCUUUGUAAACUGCAAACAUAAUGUAGUUUUGUACCCACUACUUACAUGUUGGGUUUUGGUAGGUUUUAUAUUGUCAUCCCCUACCAUCCCAACGCUCUACCAGUCAGGUCUGAAACCUAUAGUACAAGACAAUAGGUCAGCACUAAUUAACAGACAAUAUGUAGGUAGCAACUCUAAAGAAUGGAAUCCCUCCAAACCCUUCAGUAAAACAAUAGUGCAAAGAAGGGCUGUGCCACUGGAGCUAGAAAUAAUAGUCCAAAAUAGUCUCACUAGAGCAGCAGGGUAGGGUCAGAAGUGCUUGUGAGACUAUUCUUCAGGAAUAGGUCCAUCAGAGUGGCUCAAUAUGUUGCUAUAUGUAAGAGGACAAGGAGAUAUGAAAGCAGCCAAUAGUGCAAUAAGUCAAGAUCCAGAGAGAAGAUAUAUGUAAAAUAUAUAGCUCAUUUACAAAAGCUAUGAACAGCUCUACUGUAGAGGGUGUUUAGCGGUAUAAUCCCCACGUAUGGGAUAUGCAGGAGAGGUACAUCCAUCAAUGCAGUCUGGGUAUCAAGGGCUCCAAAAUAAGAUAAAAUGACGACAAUAGUGCUCUCAAUAUGAUAAAAUGUAGUAUAAAAUAAUACUCACAAGUCUAGAGCAGGAAACACUGCUGCAUUGGUGAGUACAAGAACAAUAAAAUGCCAGGAAAGUGUGCAUAUAAAAUACAAUAAGAAUUGGCAUGACUUAAGUUACCUGAAGACUUAUUGAUUUAAAAUAACUAUAACAUGUUUCACCAUAUGUGGCUUCUUCUACAAAUUGGCAACUGUACAAUGGCUGGGGCUCUCCUCUCUCAGUAUAGUCGCCUCAAUUGGCUGUCAUGUCUCUGGUUUACAUUACUUCUCCACAGUAGAGCUGUUCCUCUACAUGAAGCAUUCAAUAUAAUGCAUUAUCUGGUAACUGGUGCAUUAAUGUCACAAAAGCCUCUUUGGAUCACUGGGAUGAUUGUCUUAUACGUCCCAAUGCAAACUUUCUGUAUGUCAGAAAUUCCUUCAGUGUGGGAUGUAAAAAAAAUACAAAUCUGGAUUGGUAUAUAUUUAAAACAUGACAUUCCCUACUAAAUCUACAAUUUAAGAUUAUUAAACUUUUUUGUUACUAAAAAACAUCUUAUAGUUGAUGGGAAUUCUCACCUAAACUGAGUGCAGCACUGAAAUGUACACUUAAACCACAAACCACUGGGGGUUGAUAUCCGAUGUGAUUAUAGCUGCUGAGUAGUGAUUAUGGUUACUGACAAAGGGUAACUGCAGUAUCACCCAAACACUAGUUGAGACUGAAUAAAGGGUGAAGUAGAUUUGUUUAUUCCCAGCCAAAUGGUUAAAAUUUAUACAGAAUCUGGUACAGUAGACACUCCCCUAGACACACAAAUGCAUUGUCAUCAUGACUCAGCAAAAACCGUAACAUGGGAAACCAUAAACACAUUUCCCGCAAAGGAACCUCCGUCUAUACAUCCCCAGAGCCUGGAUCUGAGCACCCAACAUAACCGAAAAGCGCUCAAACCACACGUUGGCAUUUUGGCUCUGUUCGUGGGAAGGUCUGACCAGCUGCACACAUGGUCCUAUGCCCAAAACAGUUCCAGGGCGUCUUGUGCUUUUGGCCAGUCCACUUCAGAAGUUCCAUUUAAAAGAAAUACCGAACGCACUCUGGGUUCUUGGUAGUGUUUGUUCGUAUGUACCGAACAAACCUACCAAAUGACUCUCUCCUGACGUGUGGGGGAGGAGCAGGCGUUUGUCAAAGUUCAGCAGUUUCAGUGUCGGGUUUUUAGUUCCACGCGAUCGACACUCAAGCACCGCUGCCUACAUUCUCAUGAAAAAGAUGACCGCCCCAGUUCACAAGCAUUUGUGCAUACAAAAAGUAGCCACCCAGCGACACAACUAGAACCCACACUGAAGUGGCAGAAGAGGUUAACAAGGGUCAAUAAGCUCCGUUCUUGAACAGUCCAAGGGAGUGCCACAAACCCCGUCUUUCAAUAGCCUUUUAGCAUGGCUCAGUCCUGAGACAGGAGGCUAGCAAGCAGACUCCUCCAGGAGCUCAUGGCAAGGGCAAGUUUGCCACAUUUGUAUGACAGUUAUUCUCAUGUAAUAUUGCAUGUAAUAAGAACCUUUCAGUGGUAUAGGCUCUAAACCUGAACAUUUGUGCACUUUUAGGGAAGUUACCAGACCUUAAUCCCUCUGCUCCUGUGAGGUUUCAAAAUUCACUUUGUACAAUAUUACACUAUUUUUGUCUUGUUUCAUACAUCUAUUGUUAGGACUAAGAGUUCCCCACAAGGUCUAAAACCUUAAGCUGCCAUGGACUUAUUCACCAAAAUGUUUCUGCUUUCCAUUCUGUUCAGUGGCUGGGAAUACGUAAAGAAUCACACCAGACUGUAGCAAAAAUCAUUUGAAAAUGUAUUGCAUGGUACAUUAUAGAUAAAGGGCACAGUUGUCUAGGGGUGUAUACAUUAACGGCAUUAUCAACCAAUAACAAUUAGUACAUGUAACUGCAAUAUUUCUGUGGACAUGGUGAAAUAGAGAAGUUGGCAAUUUAAAGCAGGAAACAUAAGGCUGUAGUUAAACUGUAAGUUACAACUUAAGACAUGUCAAAAUGACAUGUCAGACAAAAUGAAAUAGUUCACCACUUGCAUAUUAAUCUUAUUUAGGCCCAUCAAUCUUAAUGCUUUCAUAUAUCAACCCCCACAACACUAAAAUGCACUUAAGCCUCAUCUUAUAUUUAAGGUUGGGAACCUUUCUGUUGGUAUUUAGCUUCUCCAGACUGGUGGAGGGGAACUGCAGAAUUGAACUUAAUUUCUAAUUUCAAAAGAAUUGCAUGUCAGUUGGUACUACUUCUUACAACAGACCUUUUUGCUUUACCUUCAGACUACCAGGAGAAUUAAAGGACCACUCUAGGCACCCAGACCACUUCAGCUUAAUGAAGUGGUCUGGGUGCCAGGUCCUUCAAUGCGUUAACCCAUUUUUUUUUUUUUCAUAAACCUUCGCUGCUUCAGAGAAACUGCUAUGUUUAUGAAUGGGUUAAGCCUUCCCCUAUUUCCUCUAGUGGCUGUCUCAUUGACAGCUGCUAGAGGCGCUUGCGUGCUUCUCACUGAUUUUCACAGUGAGCACGCCAGCGUCCAUCGGAAAGCAUUAUGAAUGCUUUCCUAUGUGACCGGCUGAAUGCGCACGCAGCUCUUGCCGCGCGUGCGCAUUCAGCCGACGGAGAGGAGAGCUCUCCGCCCAGCGCUGGAAAAAGGUAAAUUUUUACCCCUUUCCCCUUUCUAGGGCAGGAGGGGGUCCCUGAGGGUGGGGGCGGUGGUGGUGGUCCUUUAAAUCCAUGUAACCAACCCCCUUUGCAGUAUGAGUGUUUUGGUGACCACAAAUGGACUUCUUUCUAAAGCAUCCAGCUCAUUAUCUAACUGUAAAUGGGAUGAGCUAUUUUGACAAUCCUUUUCUUAUGUUCCAUCCAGUUGGGCCAAACUCCUGGACCAAAUAACCCCGUCUUCCUACCCAGUGAUUCAGAGUGGGACUGGACCCUUGCCAAAAUCUGGGUACGCAAUUCAGAGUAUCAGGUGCAUGAAAUUGGAUCUCAUCUGCUUCGCACCCAUCUUCUUGCUGAGGUCUUUAAUAUUGCUACAGCCAGACAACUUCCAAUGGGACAUCCUCUGUAUAAGGUAGGAAAUGGCAUGGCCAAUACAAAGAACACUCCUCUGAUUUCAGUUUCUUCUGCCACCCUAUUUUGAGCACCUGCUUUGGACAUGCUGCUUGCAAUGUCUUGGCAAUUACACAAUCCAGGAAACUCAAACCUCAUCUGAGUUAGCUUUGAAUAAACUACUAUCGUAACAAAUUACAUGCAAUGUCCUCCAUAUUUUAUGGUAACAAUAUUGAAUAGGUCAGUCCACAAUUAAAUGUAACUGACUCACUUCUGCUUGGAUAGAUUUAGAUGCUAACCAAUCUGAUGGUCAGUCAUGCAUAAACAAUCAUUCUGCACCAAAAUGAAAUUCCAGUAACCCAAAAAAGCCAGCUUUGUUAAUGCAACAACUAAAAAAACAAAACUGGAAUGGAGUGAGGAAACUAUGAUGGCCAUCUGUUUUGCACAAUUAUGUUUGUCUGGGAACACCACAAGCUACCUUCAUACUUGGUGCUGUAAAGCAAUUCUGAAACAUCUAUGCAUUAUUUGUGAAAGCAAACUUUCUUUGGCAAGUUCAGUUUUCGUACUUUCUCUUCCAGCUCGUUGUUCCUCAUCUUCGCUAUACUUUGGAAAUCAAUAUUUUGGCACGAAACCAACUCAUAGGCCAUGGAGGUCUCUUCGAUAAGGUGAUUUCUCUCCUCUCCAAACUUGGCCAGUAGCUAGAUGUGUACUGGGAAUGGCGACGAUAGAAACUAAUACUGCAUAUGUCACAACUAUGUAACCAAAAUACUUGUGCAACUUAAACUCGAGUUUUGUAGAUAUUGUAAAUAAUCCCUCUAUCCCUGCCCAGGCUUUUGUGACUGGAAAUGGAGGUGUACCUGUUCUACUAAAGAAAGCCAUGGAUGAAUUGACCUACAGCUGCCUCUGCCUCCCUGAUGACAUCAAAGAAAGAGGAAUGGAGUCUGUUCCUAAUUACUAUUACAGAGAAGACGGAAUGAAGGUCUGGCUGGCAGUAGAGAGGUAAAAAUAUAUAUUUGGUUCCAGCAUGUAAUCUAAAUCUUGGUUGACAUGUGACUCCCCAGCAUCCUGCCCUAUUGAGUAAAUGGGGUGACCUCACUGUUGGCCUUAUAACUGAUCAUUAAUAUGUGUAAGUGUAUUGCAUACUACAUGACUUGUCCUUAUCACAAAAGGCUCUAAAACUAAAUGUCCCAUGCUUUAACUAUUUUUUAUUUUUUCUUAAAGACUUGUGUCUGGUAUUGUUAAUUAUUACUAUAAAGAUGAUGAUAUGGUCAGCAAAGAUCCUGAGCUUCAGGCCUGGGUGGAAGAAAUAUUCACAAAAGCCUUCUUGGGACGUAUAUCCACAGGUAAAUGUGAAGUGAUCUUAGUACAGAUGCUUCCCCCUCUGUACAAUGUAAAUUUUAUUUCUAGUUUAUCAAGUGGUCUACUCUUGUCCAAGAGCACUUGUCUAAUAUUUCAGAUACCCUCUCCUCCCAAACACGAACUUCAACUUGGCAAAAUGAAGUCUAUUUAAAGUAUAGAAUAACAGUUCUAUGAUCUAUUCCACAGGAGUCCCUUCUUCUCUGGGAACACGAGCUGAGCUCAUUAAAUACCUGACCAUGGUGAUCUUCACAUGUUCUGGCCAGCAUGCUGCUGUCAACAGUGGUCAGGUGAGUAGGCCCAUAUCCUGGCCCAGUAAUAUGGGAGCAGGUAUUCAUAUAAAUAUUGUUUGCAAGUGUGUUUUUUUUUUUUUUUUUUUUUUCACUUGGCAGUUAAAACCUCCAAUAACAAACAGAAAAGUCCUGCACUCACUCCAUCACUCCUGGGCGGCAGCAAUAACUACAGUACACAUCAGCUAAGACAUAUAGUAAAAACCUGCAAUAACCCUAUAGUAGGCAUGUGCAUGGGGAAAUAAAGAGGACCAAUUGCCCCCCCAACCCUGAGUGGUGGGGGCCCUAAAUCAGAAUAAGGGGGACCUAAUGACCUCCCCCUGGCCCCCACCCCUGAGCAGUGGGUGGGGGCUCUAAUUAAACCCCCUGCCCCCCAGGUGAUUAGGGGUCUCCAAAAAAACUAACCCGUACUAAAAAUGAGGGACAUUUAAGUACCUAUAGAAAAAAAAUAACUUGCCAUUUGUUUUCUAUUUAUAUAUUUUUUUUUUUUUUUACAAGUCCCCCUCAUUAUUUUUAGUGUGGGGGUAUUUUGGGGGAGGCUGGUGGGUAACUAGGGUUUAGGGGGGGAGGGGGGGUUAUUUCUUAUUUAGGGCACUAGGUCACCCCUUACUCUAAUUUAGGGCUACCGCUCAGGGGGAGGACAUUAGGUCCCCCCCUAUUCUUACAUCGUUACAUAGCUGAAAAGAGACUUGUGUCCAAGUUCAGCCUUCCUCACAUAUGUUUUUGCUGUUGAGCCAAAAGAAGGCAAAAAAAUGAAUCGCUUCCAAUUUUGCAACAAACUAGGAAAAGUCCUUCUUGACCCCAAAAUAGCAGUCAGAUGUCCCCUUGGAUCAAGCAGCUAUGAAUGAUUUCCAGAUAAAGGUUUGUACUGGCCCAGAAUAUAUUUGUAUAAUGUUAUCAUAUCCCCUCUCAGGCACCGUUUUUCCAAACUAAAGCGAUUUAAUUUCUUUAACCUUUCUUCAUAACUAAAAUGCUCCAUUCCUUUGAUCAAUUUUGUAGCUCGUCUCUGCACUUUUAAUAGUGCCAUGAUAUCUCUUUAGAACAGGUGCUUAAAAUUGCACAGCAUAUUCAAGGUGUGGUCUUACCAGCAAUUUAUAAAGAGGCAAAAUUAUAUAUUCAUCCCGAAAAUGUAUGCCCCUAUUUAUAUAUGACAAAAGCUUACUGGCCUUAGCAACUGCAGAUUGCUGCCUAAUUUGUUAUCUAUUACAUUUCCCAAAUCCUUCUCGUGUGGUUAUCCCUAACUCACUACCAUUUAGGGUGUAAUUUGCUUGUGCAUUCUUAACCUUGAAGUGCAUAACUUUGCAUUUCUCUACGUUAACUUUAAUCUGCUAUUUUAGUGCCCAGUCCCCCAAUCUAUCCAAAUCCCUCUGCAGCAAAGCAAUAUCCUCCUCACAUUUUAUUACUUUACAAAGUCUUGUCAUCUGCAAACACUGAUACAUGGCUUUCAAUGCCUAUUUCAAGAUCAUUUAUAAAUGUUAUAGAAGUGGUCCCAAAACAGAACCCUGAGGGAGACCACUUACCACUUUUGUCAAGCCUGAAAAUUUACCACUAAUUACAACUCAUUGUACUCUAUCCUUAAGCCAAUGUUCUACUCAAGAACAAGAAUAUUAAUCUAGACUGUUACAGAACCAUCGGUCUUUGAGAUUAUGUUUCACCUUCCUCCAUUCGUCUGUUUGUUCAGCUAUUUCCUUGUCCGUACAGCCCCCUUGUUUCCCCACGUAUUUACCAAACGGCUACCGAUUACGUGACCACCAGGAGGCUGGCAUGUGCAGUCAAUUGACCACCCAGUAUCUGCGGUUAACCACCGCUUAAUUGACAAUUACUGGGAGGUCGCCGUUACACUUAGCCACCACACGAUGGCGGUGUUAUGGAAGCCUCCCGGGUAGUCAGCACUUGUCCUACCCAGCAGCAGAACACCGAAAGCUGACACUUUCUCUUCCAAGCCCCGCUGAUCCUAUGGUUCUACAGUGGGGCAUUCUGGACUUUUUAGUGUUACAAUGUAUUCAGUGUAAAAAUAACCAGAUAGCAUACCAUGGAGCCUGUUUGUGGAAUUAAAGACUUUGGCUCCAUGGCAAUUAAACUGUGUUCGUGUGGUCAGAGCGCCAUUCGCGUAAUGUGCGUGCAGACCUUAGCUAUCUGGGGAUAUGUUAAAUGUGUAUAUUUAUGGUACCUCUUGUCACAUGGUGUAUUUCAAUAGUAAUUCCUAUUCUAGUAUCCCCACGUGCAUAAUGGCGCUUUGCCUUUGUCCUGGGAGAUAAUUGAAUUACUUCUCAAUUAUCUCCAGGGCAGAGGGGAGGAAGCCAGGAUGCAUUGUGGGAAUGGGACUGUCCUAAAUUGAUACAUCUGUCCCUGGUUAGUCUCCCAUUUGGUCCCCUAGGGAGUGUCCACCAAGUGGAAGGCUUGCAUAAAUAUGGGCAUGUAGCCCACAGUAAAGGCAGUUCUUGUUUUACCCUCAAUGCAGCGCUUGGUCUCGUUAUUGGGGGGGGGGGAUUUACUAAACACGGUUAGACUGAUUGCUGGGAAUGUAAGCCGCUUGGAGAUUAUAUCUGUUCGGCUGUUAGCCGCGAUUCGUGGGCUUACCAGAAUUGAAUCUGUGUUACUAAAAGGGGAGGGGAAGCUCAACUAAGCGGCAGUUUCACUCCUCUGUGCCAGGAGUGUCUAAACAUAGACCAAUUUCUUUUAGUUUGAAGACUAACCAAUUGUGAGGAACCGUAUCAAAUGCCUUGGCAAAGUCCAAGUAGAUCACAUCCACUGCAACACCCUGAUCUAUACUUCUACUUACUACUUCGUAGAAUGUAAUUGGGUUAGUUUGACAUGACCUAUGUUUCAUAAAACCAUGCUGGUUAUUGCUAAUAAAGUUCUUCCCAAUGAGUUCCUGAAUAUUAUCCCUUAAUAGCCGUACAAAUAUUUUCCCAGUUACAGAAGUUAAGCUCACAGGUGUCUAACUUCAAGGCAAGGAUUUUGAACACUUUUUUUAAUAUAGGAACAACAUCUACCUUCAUCCAAUCCUCUGGUGCGAUACCUGAAACAAAUGAAUUUUGAAAAAUUAAAUACAGAGGUUCACUUAUUUCCCCACUUAGCUCUUUAAGUACUCACGGGUGAAUACAGUCAGGCCCCAGAGCUUUAUUUACAUUAAUUUUCUUUAAUAGUUUUAGCACCUUGUCUUGAGUUAUCCAAUCACAAGUUAUUUUCAAGUUUUUUUUGCAGCAAUCAUUUGCAAAUCUCUUGCCAUAGGAUCCUCAUUAAUGUAUACUGAAGAAAGUUACUUAAAACUUCUGCUUUUUUCUUGUUCUUCAUUAGGUAAUAAACCCAACUGUUUCCAGUGUACCUACACUUUAAAUUUUCUUUUUCUUUUUUUUUUAUAGUAUUGAUGUACUUGAGAAUUUUUGUGGUUGGUUUUUGCAUUCUUUAGCUAUCCGUGUCUCAUUUUCUAAUGUAGCCACAUUAAUUGCCUUUUUGCAAGUGUUAUUGUCUUCCUUAUAUUUUAAAUGCCCUUUUCUUAUUUUAAUCUCUUUACUUCUCUACUAAGCCACAUUGGUUUUAAUUUGUUUCUUUUAUAUUUAUUACCCAAUGGUACAUACUGAGAAAUGUACCUUUCUAGUAUUUGUUGGAAUAGUUUCCAUUUAUCCUCAGGGUUUUUAUCACUAAGGAGUUUAUGCCAGUCGAUAUGUUGUAGAGCUGCUCUAAUCUUAUUGAUAUUGGCUUUUUUUUAUUAUGUUUUAGUAUACCCCACUUGCUUUUACUUUUGUUGAUUUCAAAAGAUACCAUAUUGUGAUCACGAUUUCCCAAAUGUUCCUCUACUUGAAUAUUAGUUAAAAGAUCAACAUUGUUAAGACAAGAUCCAGACAAGCAUCCUUUCUAGUUGGUGCUUGUACCAGUUGUGACAUAAAGGGGUCAUUAACACAUUCAAAAACCUGAUUCCCCUUGCUGAAGUACUAGUCCCUCUAUCCCAAUUUGUCUGGGUAAUUAACAUGUUUCUUCGAUUUGCAGCUUUCUCAGUUUGCUCUAACAGCUGUUCUUCCUCAAUAAUAUUUACAUUAGGUGGUUUAUAACAUAUCCCAACAAUAAUUGAUUUCCCUUUGUUUGCCCCAAGCAGAUAUCUACCCAUAAAGCCUCCACCUUUUCCUCGUCACACUCCACAUGCCGAAGAUUUGACUUUUACUCAAGGUUGACAUAUAAACAUACCCCACCACCCUUCUUGUCUCCUAUCCUUCCUAAAUAACGUGUACCUAUUUUAAAUUAUCUGCAGUCAUGUGUCUCAUCCCACCAUGUUUCUGUUAUGCCUAUUAUAUCAUAUUGUUUAGUGUAUGCUAUUGCUUCUAGUUCCCCUAUCUUGUUUUAUAGGCUCCUUGCAUUAGUAAUCAUACAUUUAAUAUUAUCAUGAGUCUUUUGUACUUUUUGUGAAUUAUCAAUAUUGCAUACCUCCUCUGUUCUGAGCUUUUCUCCACUCCCUUUGUUCUGCAUUAAAGCCCAUCUCCUUUCCAUCCUAUCUCCGUUUUCUAGAUUGCUUUGACCACCCCCCCCCCUCCCAACCUCUGGUUUAAAAUCUACUCCAUCCUAUCCCCAGCACAGCAGACCCUCUUCAGUUUAGGUGCAAUCAUCAUGACUAUACAGGUUGUACCAAAGCACAAAAUGGGCCCAGUGCUCUAAACACAAAACCCUCUUUACUGCACCAAGACUUUAGCCACGCAUUGACCUCUCUAAUCUCCCCUGCCUUUCUGCUGUAGCGCGCAGCACCGGUAAUAUUUCUGAAAAAAUUAUCCUUUGAGGUCCUUUUCUUUAGCUUACUUCCUAGUUCCCUGAAAUAAUUCUUUUAGUAGAUAACUCUCCAAUUACCACGAUAUUAGGGAGCUAUCUACUUAUUCAUUACUGUUAUUACAAUAACUGGCUAACUUUCAUAUAAAAUGUAUGUGUCUUACUUGAUUGAUGUAAGUGUUGCAAAUGCUUACAGCUGAAUCCUGGCUGUAUACUUUUUAUUUAAAAUUGUAUACAUUGUAACAUUCUUCCUUCUUCCACUGGGUAAGUAUAUUAGUUCUUGGGCAAUACUGUGCUUCAGCCACUUCGGAAAUUCAGUAACUUUGGGACUUGAGCAAUUCAUCUAUUCGGAAGUACCCAAAUGUCCGAAUUCACAUUCGUACCAAAACGCAUUGCACAUGUCUACCCUAUAGUGGUAACCCCAUUGUAACUUAUUCCCCUUUACUGAAGUGAACCUUUCAUGAUUUAGGUGUUACAAUGCUAAAAUAGAUAUCUAACACUUACAGCAGUCUUUAUCUACUAAAUGAAAAUGUUUUAGACUGAUGGGCUGAAAGGACAGGGCCACUGCCCCCAGACCACCUUAUUGAGAUUAAUAGUUUAAAAUAAAUCUCCACUAACCUUUACAGUUUGACUUCUACUCUUGGCUGCCAAAUGGUCCAUCAUCCAUGAGGAAGCCUCCACCUCCUGUGAAGGGUGCUGCCACUUACCAGACCCUCCUAGAUGCCUUGCCAGAAGUAAACACAACCACUAAUGCCAUGGCUGUAGACUGGCUGCUUGCUCGUGAACCAAUGGACAAGGUUAGUAUGUAGUUGUAAAGCUUACUGCUGGUUACAUUACACUAAUGGGAUGGUUAGUAAGGGAAUGCUGGGAUUUCACAUGGCAUAUUACCAUUGUGUCUGAGCAGCAAGCUCUGGCCAGCCACAUAUUAAAGUGACACUCCACUUUCCAAAUACUAACUUCAUAGACUGAAGAGAUGUGUCAAUUUCAUUCAGCCUUUACAUAGAAUGUUUAGUUCCUAACAGAGUUGACUGAGCUUUAGAAAUGUACCUUCAAUUAAUCCAGCCUUCCUUAUCCCAGAGACCUCUAGGAACUUUUCAAAAUGAGCGUUUUACAGAGGAGACUCCCCAAGCCAUAAUUAAGGAAUUUCAGAAAAGAUUGGAAGGGAUUUCUACACAGAUCCAGGAGAGAAACUCUACUAUCAAAGGCUUGACCUACCUAUAUCUGGAUCCAAAGAACAUUGAGAGCAGUGUGUCAAUUUAACAUCUCCAGCAAUGAUGGUUCUAGAUCUUUCAAGCAUCUCAUCUAUACCUCACAGAAGAUGUUGAUGGCUUGACACAUGCUAGAUCACUAUGCCAUAACUUAUGGCUCCUGCUACAGUUACUAAUCCUCAAUGUCAGUGUUUCUGUGCAAAUAAAACCAAUGCAUUGCCUGUACUGC